rnacentral:misc_RNA from 1 species
GCAGAUGAGCAAUAUCUCCGUGAUCUUGAGACCUGUACUUUCCUGGUUGAGCUGCAGCUUGAUCGACCUUACCCUUCACGCGGAAGUGACUUGUCAACUUGGGAGCCUAUUGCAGCAUAUCCUUAUCUAGACAGAGAGCUCUCACCUCCCAUGUACAGAUCAUUUUUCAUCCCAUAUCUGUGGCAAGAGAAGAAUGUUUUUGGCUUGUACAAGCUGUUCAAAAGAAUACCAAAAUGACAUGCAUGCGGUUUGCUGAACAACUGCAUUUCUUGUAGUUCAAAAUUUUGAUGCCUAAAAGCUAUUAAUAGCUGAAAUUUGAUCUCAAAACCUGAAGGAGGAAAUCCCAACAGAAAUCGUAGUUGUUGAAUGCUUUUUUUUUUU